rnacentral:rRNA from 1 species
GAUGAACGCUGGCGGCGUGCCUAAUACAUGCAAGUCGAGCGAACAGACGAGGAGCUUGCUCCUCUGACGUUAGCGGCGGACGGGUGAGUAACACGUGGAUAACCUACCUAUAAGACUGGGAUAACUUCGGGAAACCGGAGCUAAUACCGGAUAAUAUAUUGAACCGCAUGGUUCAAUAGUGAAAGACGGUUUUGCUGUCACUUAUAGAUGGAUCCGCGCCGCAUUAGCUAGUUUGUAAGGUCACGGCUUACCAAGGCAACUAUGCGAAGCCGACCUGAGAGCGUGGUUCGCCCGCUUGGAUCUGAGACACGGUCCAGACUCCUACGGGGGGCCGCAGUAGGGAAUCUUCCGCGAUGGGCCAAAGCCUAACGGUGCACCGCCGGGUGAGGGAUGAAGGUCCUCGGACCCUAAAACUCUGUUAUUAGGGGAGAACAAAUGUGUAAGUAACUAUGCACGUCUUGACGGUACCUAAUCAGAAAGCCACGGCUAACUACGUG